AAAUAUAUAUUUAUUAUUUCAUAAUAUGUAAAAAUAUUUAAUACAUAAAAUAAUUUUUAUAUAUAAUGUUCAUCCCGCGCAAGGCGCGGAUCUAGUUGAGUGUAUUUCAGAAGUGCAUUUAAUGAUAUGAAUCUCUCAAAUCUCGAAGAGAAUGUUUUCUGGUCGUGUAUUGAUGAUAACAUGAGGUAUAAUUAAUAACACUGAUAAGACAUAAGUGUCUCCUAGGUUUAGAGAGGGUUUAUUAAUUACGGAUUUAUGAGACAGAAAGUUUUAUACUAGCUUUGAUCUUUCUUUUCUUGUCAGCAAAUAUCCAUAUAAUUAUCGGUUUACCAACCAAUUAGGAUAAUAAAGUUUACAACUUGUUGACAAGAAAAAAAGUUUACAACUUUCCGUAGACAAAAUCACGUAAACAAAUCUUAUUUUUACGACUUAAUCAAUCAGCUUUUAAAUUUAAACAGCGUAGAAUGCAUAUAGGCGUAAAAGAAAGAUCUUUAGUUUGUUGGCCAAAAAGAAAAAGAAAACAUCUUUAGUCUAUUACAUGAUUUUUGUUUUUGACUAAAUAUUUUCUAUUUCAUGUUUGGAUGUUUUGAAACGAAUUAUCACACUGAACUAAGGGAAGAUAAUUUAUCGUAAUACAUAUACAAAUAUAAAAUUUUAAAUUCUAUUAUGAAGUAAUGUUCAGAAUUGCGCUAGCUGUAAUUAGUAGGGGUGUCAAAAUGAGUUAAAGCUUAUGAUUUUGAGCUGGUUCAGCUCAACUCGAUUUUUCAUGAGCAUGAUCUUUCUUUUUAUAGUUCAUUUAGUAAGUGAACUUAAUGAUCGAAUUUAAAUUGAUCAUGAGUUAUAUGAACGAUCUUUAAUGAACAUGAACUAACUCAUGAGCUUUGUCAUUUUUAUACAUUAUAUAUGUGUGUGUGUGUAUAGAUGACUUAUAUUUUUCUUAUGGAUAGUUUCUAUAUUAAUCAUAGUUAUCUUUUAAAAUUAAAAUGUAAAACCAAAAAGUUUUAAAUAUAAAUAAAAAAAUGUAUAAGAAUAUUGAUAUCAAUCUUUAUAUCCUAUAUCUUUAGAAUUAAAAUGUAAAACAAAAUAUUUCUAAGACUUUCACGCGGAAUAUAUAUUUUUAUGAUUUGAAUAGAUGAAGACUUUGAAGAUGAAUCAUUUCAAGCCUCUUAUGUGAAAUAGAUUUUUGGAUCAAUAAAGUAGCUUUUAUUUAAUUAACUAUUAGGUUUUGUUUUUAUUCAGUAUUUAAUAUUAAUGUUUGGAUUUUUAACAUUUAAAUUUUAAUUAUAUUAUGAAAUUAUGUUAUUCUAUAUUUUAUUUUAUAAUUACUUUCUAUUUUUUUAUUUUAAGUUAGAUCGCGAGUUAGUUCAUCUAACUCAUGAUCUAGAUGAUCUGAGUGCGAGUUUACACAUGAAAUCUCAUAUAAUAAAUGAGCUGAGCGAACUAGCUCUUGAAAGAUCCGAGCUCCGUAAGAAUUGAGUUGAGUUGAGCGAGGUAGCUUUUUUUGACAUCCCUAGUAAUAAGUACUGUUUGAUUUAAGCAUAGCCCAAAAUUAAUAAAUCGGAAAUUAAGCCUAGUAAUAAGUACGAUGCUAAUUUAAUGGUGGAAGGUGUGCUUCUCUCAGACUCUGAGCUUCUUGAUGAGGAUUGGGAGGAAGGUGAGUUACCGGAGUUUAUGGUGGAGGCAGAGGAAAUGCUUCCUGUUACAGGGUUGACUGAGCAAAGCGACACUGAGAUCAUUGCGAACAACCCUGGUGCUAUGGAAGAACCUGGUGCAAAAGCGACAAAGAAAAAAGGUUUAAAGACAGGGGCUUUCGGUGGAGCUACCAAGAAGCGUCUUGUUCAGAACCUCCUCUCUUCCCGAAAGAGCAAGAUGUCAAAGGCGCCAGUGAAGAACGGAGAGAAAGGUAAUAGAGAGGGUAAGAAGGCUGGAAGUAAGCCUUGAGUUCUUUUGGAGUGGUGUUAGCGCUCUAGCUCUUUAUUUUAGCUUUAAAUAAUGUCGGAUUACUUUAUAAAAUCCAGGGGUUUUAAGUUGGUUUUUGUUCGUUUUGUUUCUUGGUUGAAGCUGAUUUGCUAUCAGUUAGGGCCUUUGUUUGACCUUAAAUGUAGGGUCUCUGAUUGUUUCCAUGUUAUGAAUAAGAUGAUCGAAUUAUGGUUUUUUUCAUGCGGGAUCCUUUUGGUUCAGUCUGAGUGGAUGGAGUUUGGUACAAAGUUGUGAUCACAAGGAUCUAUGCAGGAUAUUUAUGGGCUUGUGGUCACUAUGGUUGGUUUGUUCUCGGUGUGUUGGUUUGGAUUGGUUGUCGGCGAGUCAUUGUGAGCUGCAGUGCAGUGGUAUAACUUGGAUCAAGUGGACUGAGGCAAGAGAUAGUUGCUAUCUUUGGUUAGAUAACUACUGUCUUUUUACUAUAUGUUUGUUUGGAUAUAAAUAUUCUGCCUGUAGCUGUUUGGUUGUUUAUCUAUUUCAAGUGCGGAGAUGGGGUUUGGUGGAAGUAGAGAUGUCAGCCCAACCCGUGACCCGCGGGUUCGGCCCAUGUAAACCCAUCACGGGGCGGGCUUGGACAAGUCGUUUGAUGUCCAGGAAUUUGCGGGUUUAGCGGGUCUAACCCAAGCGGGUUUGCGGGUGGCCGGGUCAUAACCCGUCACGGGUUAGCGGGUUCGCGGGUUGUCCGCAAAUUAAUGGGUCAGUUCUUCGUCUUCUCUUACUAGAUGCAUCAAACCGAUUCCAACUUUGAUCGCCUUCAACAGAUUUCAUGUUUGAGCUAUUGCAUGCAAGAGAUUCGAUAAGAUCAGUGAUUGCAAGCCUUCGAUGGAGAUUACGUCCGUCUCCUGCAGAGAUUAGAGAGUUAGUGUUUCCUCUGCCUUAUUCUUCCCUCACAAGCUUUAAAUUGUCAAGCCUUCGAUGGAGACUAUGUCUUCUUCAACGCUCGCUCAUAGCAGACUUUUUGCUCAACAAAUACCACCGGAUGAGCUUUAUUCUGCUAUUGUUGUUCUGUUACUGAAUACAAUAUCAAGAGCUGCUACUCUGAAUAUGACACAGAGGAUAGUCAGGAAGGCAUUAAGAAGCUUUGAAGAGAAUGUGAUGGUGAGGUUUAUGAGUUGAGAUGUCUCAUAAAGUCUAGAAUUUUCUUGCAUAGAGUCUGUGCAUCUUCAUGAGAUUACAGAGUGUUGGCAAUUCAUUGAAAAGAAAAACUGUAGCUCCAGUUUCAGAACUUACUCGGCUCUUAUUGACCGAGACUGGAGACGAUCUGGUUGUUUUAUUUAGAAAAAUGAAAUGGAUAUAGGUGAUGCCCUUCUUGUCAGUGAGCUUGUUGAGCAUUUCUUUAAGGUCAACCAUCCAUACUUCUACCUCACGUACCAGGUUACAACUUUGAUUUUACUCACAGUGAUGAUUCUUAGUUAUUGGCUUGUAUAGAUUUUGGUGAUCAUGUUAGAAUAAGUUUGCUUUGGCUUGGUUCUUAGUAAGAAUUUUUUCUGAAUGUAAAGUUUUUGUAAUAAUUUAUAUACGAUGUCUAGCUAUUAUAAAUAUGAAUUCAAUACUUCUAGUCUUGAUUCUCUUGAAACUUGAAAGCUUCUGUAGUUCUGUCGUAACUAGAGGUUGGACUGAUUAGUAUUUACUAAUGUCUAAUGAUUAAUAAAUUAAUGAAUCAUUAAUUCAUUAAUUAACUAAAAACCUAAAUGUCUGCCGCCUUUUUUUUAACCUAAUAGUUACGUAACCACUAACCACGUUUCCUGAAGUCUAAAUGCUUCUUGGUCUUCAUUAUAGUUAGCUAACUCAUUUUGGUUCAAAUAUGUAGAGGAAGAUGAAGAAUAUGUUGAUGAUGAGACAUUACCAUCCUUUGAAUCCAUUAUCGAUGAAGAAGAUGACGCUUGAGGAGAAUCGUUUUAUUAGUGUUUCAGUUUAGCUUGUUGGUUUUCAUAUUUCCAUUUAAAAUUUUAAGUUUGUUCACUGGAAUUUAUUUGGUGUUGCUUUUGAACUACUACAGUUUGUUGCUUUCAUGUUCUUUACGUUGAUUUAUUGGAUUUAUGUUUAGAGAACUAACAUGUUUUUUAACCUGCAAAUCAAAUGUUAUAAGGAGAAUAAACAGGUGCGCUUCUUUCUUACGAGUUGACAAAAUUUAGACUUUGUCUUCUGAAAUAAGCAUGUGCGUUAGGUGGACUGAGUCCACGUGAGAAUAUGUGUAGUUUUUUUCUGAGUUUGAAUUUUUCCUACCUCACGUAGGAAACACAAAAGCACAAUUAUAAAUUAACCAAGAUAGAUAUGAGCAAAGGUCAAAACAGAGACCCUAUUAGUAUUAGUAUUAUUAGACAUUGAACAAAGGUCAUAAUACGUUUUCUUUUGUAGGUAACCCGCGGGUCGACCCGCAAAAAAAGUAAACUAAGCUGGACGGGCUUGGACAAGACAUUUCUGGCCGCAACCCGCCACGGGCCAACCCGCACGGGCUGAUGAACUGACUGAACCGCUGCGGGUCUGUCCAUAUGGACGCGGGUCAACCCGUUUGACAACUCUAGGUGGAAGCCACGUUCCUUGUAAUGGUAUUGAUAUGUGUACUAAUACCUAGCCUUUCAUUAUGGGAGUUUUGUUUACGUUUGAUAGGUGGAUGGUUGCGUUAUGGGUGUUGGUGUUAUUAUUGUGGCGUUAGUGUAUGGAGAUUGUGUUUUUCAUGGAGCAUUUGUUUGGUAAUUGGUACGAAUGGUUUAUGGAAUUGUCUUUUAUGGUGUAUUUGGAAUCGUGUUAUGAGAUUCGAUGUCAUUGUGGAUAAAAAAGGAAACGAUGAGAUUUGGGUAUAUAAAUGAAUUUUAUUGGUUUUGUCUUCUUUGGUAUAGUAGACAGAUUCUUGUUUUUUCAAAUGUGGAUAAAUGAAAAUCUUGAGUUGGAAUUGCCAAGGUCUUGGUAGUCAUUGAACCAUUAGUUAUUUGAGGGAAAUUUGGUCUAAACAUAAACCAAAUUUUAUUUUUCUCUCUGAAACAAAGCAAUAAUUUGAUUUUGUCCAGUCUUUUCAAUUUCAUUUUGGUUAUUCCCAUCUUCACACAGUUGAUCCUCAAGGAAGAAUGGAGGUUUAGCUCUUUACUAUGAUUCAACUUUAAAGGUCAACAUCAUUUCUUCGAGUAAUAGAAUUAUAGAUGUGGCGACAGAAUAUAAAGGCAAGCGUAUCUUUUUGUCAUUUGUGUAUGGAGAACCAAAUCAAGGUCUUAGAGAUCAGGUUUGGAAGAGGCUUACAAGGAUGGGUAUUAUCACGGAUGAACCAUGGUUUAUUAUUAUGGAUUUAAAUAAAAUUACGGGGAACCAUGAAAAAGUAGGGGGACCUCUUCGUCAUGCGGAUUAUUUUAUUUCGUUUAAUAACAUGAUUCAAAAUUGUGGUUUGAUGGAGUUUCCGAGUCUAGGCAAUACUCUCUCCUGGAGGGGACGAAGAGCGGGGCAUGUGGUUAGAUGCCGUCUUGAUCGAGCACUGGGGAAUAAUGAGUGGCAUAACUUGUUCCCAUGCUCCUUUGUAGAAUAUCUGGGGAUGGUAUGGUCAGAUCAUAAACCAAUUGUGGUAACCAUCGAUGAUAAAGUUCUUAAAUUUUGUCGGCAGUUUCGGUUUGAUAGGAGAUGGAUUGGAAAAGAUGGUUUGAUGGAAUAUAUAGAGCAAGGUUGGGCGUUGAAUAGAGGUGGACAGAGGGGAGGAAUAGUUGAUAAAAUUCAUAACUGUCGUCAUGAGAUAUCGGCAUGGCAGAAGGAUAAACCACCAUAUGGGAAGGAAGAAAUAAGUACUUUACAGAAAGACUUGAGGAUGUCCAGAAUGAUAUGACAAAGUCGCAUGAAGAAGUGGUGGAGGUUUCCCGUAAAUUGAAAGAGGCCUAUACAGAUGAGGAACUUUAUUGGGAGGAAAAGAGUAGAAAUACAUGGCAUAUAUAUGAAGAUAGGAACACUAAAUUUUAUCACGCUUUAACUAAGCAACGACAGAUUCAGAAUAUAAUAAGCGGGUUGUACAAUGAGGAGGGGGUCAAAUACUGCAUGGAUUUGUUUCAUUCUACCUCGCCGUCUGACUUUGAUGGUUUUUUAGAGGAGGUACCGGAGUUGGUAACUAUGGAUCAAAACCGGAAAUUAACGGCUUUGGCAAUGGAGGAGGAAGUGAGAGUGACACUAUUUAUGAUUUAUCCUGAAAAGGCGCCGGGUCCAGACUGUAUGACUGCUAUAUUUUAUCAACAGUCUUGGUCGGUAAUUAAACUUGAUGUGGUUAAUAUGGUAAAUGAUUUUUUACGCCCUGAGAAUUUUGAUGAUAGACUUAAUUUGACGAAUAUUUGUCUAAUUCCUAAGACUGUUCGGCCAAAUCGGAUGACGGAGUUGCGGCCAAUUAGUCUAUGUAAUGUAGCCUACAAAAUUAUUUCAAAGGAAAUGUGCCAGCGAUUGAAAGGAUUACUUCCAAACCUGAUUUCAGAGAUGCAAUCUGCUUUUGUUUCGGGAAGAUUAAUUUCGGAUAAUAUUCUCAUUGCUCAGGAGAUGUUUCAUGGAUUAAGAAAUAAUAAUGCAUGUAAGGAGAAAUCUAUGGCUAUUAAGACGGAUAUGAGUAAAGCUUAUAAUAGGGUAGAAUGGUCUUUUAUGGAACGACUUAUGCUGAAAAUGGGAUUCUGUUCGAUUUGGGAAUGUGUAGUCUAGCGGUCUUUUUCCCUAGUUCUUAACCUUCGGAACUCGAGUAAGUAGUAACACACGUAUUGCCAUUUUUUGGAUUAUGUUUAAUGAAAACAAAUUUACGAUUUCUUCUUCUUCUUCUUCUUCUUCUUCUUCUUCUUCUUCUUCUUCUUCUUCUUCUUCUUCUUCUUCUUCUUCUUCUUCUUCUUCUUCUUCUUCUUCUUCUUCUUCUUCUUCUUCUUCUUCUUCUUCUUCUUCUUCUGUAAAUUUUUUGUUCCUGUGCAACUUGUAUUCUAAUAUAUUUUCUAUCGGUUGAAAUUUUGUUAUGUAUAUUAAGAAUGAUAUUUAUAUUUAAUAAAUAUAUAAAAUUAAAUAUUUUCUUAAUCUGUGUACCAAGUCUAAAAUAAUAAUUAAAAUGAAACAGAAGGAUAAUGAUUUAGCACUUCAAAUUAUGAUUUUCCAAGCCUUUUCAUUUAACUAGAUAUAAUUGAAAUUUUAAAGUCACACAUAUAAAUUAAUAAAAAUAAAUUUAAAAAAAAAAUCAAAAUAAAAAUAUCAAUACGUAUUCACCUAAC